UACGUAGGCAGCGAGCGUUGUUCGGAGUUACUGGGCGUAAAGCGUGCGUAGGCGGUAGUCCAAGUCUGGUGUGAAAUCUCCCGGCUUAACUGGGAGGGUGCGCCGGAAACUGGGCUGCUGGAGUGCGGGAGAGGUAAGCGGAAUUCCCGGUGUAGCGGUGAAAUGCGCAGAUAUCAGGAGGAACACCAAUGGCGAAGGCAGCUCGCUGGGACGGUACUGACGCUGAGGCGCGAAAGCGUGGGGAGCAAACAGG
rnacentral:rRNA from 1 species